AACGAACGCUGGCGGCAGGCUUAACACAUGCAAGUCGAACGGGUGUAGCAAUACAUCAGUGGCAGACGGGUGAGUAACACGUGGGAACCUUCCUCGGGGUACGGAACAACUCAGGGAAACUUGAGCUAAUACCGGAUACGUCCGUGAGGAGAAAGAUUUAUCGCCCUGAGACGGGCCCGCGUCGGAUUAGCUAGUCGGUGGGGUAACGGCCUACCAAGGCGACGAUCCGUAGCUGAUCUUAGAGGAUGAUCAGCCACACUGGGACUGAGACACGGCCCAGACUCCUACGGGAGGCAGCAGUGGGGAAUCUUGGACAAUGGGCGCAAGCCUGAUCCAGCCAUGCCGCGUGAGUGAAGAAGGUCUUCGGAUUGUAAAGCUCUUUUGCCAGGGACGAUAAUGACGGUACCUGGAGAAUAAGCCCCGGCAAACUUCGUGCCAGCCGCCGCAGUAAGAC
rnacentral:rRNA from 1 species